rnacentral:snoRNA from 1 species
ACGACUACACUUGAACAGGAUCUGUUCUAUAGUGUGUACAUCUGAUCUGUUUUCUCCAACGCAGACAAGACCAUCAACCCAGACGAUGAUCCAGUGCUCUCCGGCCUUAGCGCGACUGCCGCGGGUGUCGCCCUGUGUGGGGC